rnacentral:rRNA from 1 species
GAUGAACGCUGGCGGCGUGCUUAACACAUGCAAGUCGAACGAAGCAAUUUAACGGAAGUUUUCGGAUGGAAGUUAAAUUGACUGAGUGGCGGACGGGUGAGUAACGCGUGGGUAACCUGCCUCAUACAGGGGGAUAACAGUUAGAAAUGACUGCUAAUACCGCAUAAGCGCACAGGACCGCAUGGUCUGGUGUGAAAAACUCCGGUGGUAUGAGAUGGACCCGCGUCUGAUUAGCUAGUUGGUGGGGUAACGGCCUACCAAGGCGACGAUCAGUAGCCGACCUGAGAGGGUGACCGGCCACAUUGGGACUGAGACACGGCCCAAACUCCUACGGGAGGCAGCAGUGGGGAAUAUUGCACAAUGGGCGAAAGCCUGAUGCAGCGACGCCGCGUGAGCGAAGAAGUAUUUCGGUAUGUAAAGCUCUAUCAGCAGGGAAGAAAAAUGACGGUACCUGACUAAGAAGCACCGGCUAAAUACGUGCCAGCCGCCGCGGUAAAAC